UACGGGGGGGGCAAGCGUUGUUCGGAAUUACUGGGCGUAAAGGGCGCGUAGGCGGCCUGCUAAGUCGGAUGUGAAAUCCCCGGGCUUAACCUGGGAACCGCAUUUGUGACUGCAUAGCUGGAGUACGGCAGAGGGGGAUGGAAUUCCGCGUGUAGCAGUGAAAUGCGUAGAUAUGCGGAGGAACACCGAUGGCGAAGGCAGUCCCCUGGGCCUGUACUGACGCUCAUGCACGAAAGCGUGGGGAGCAAACAGG
rnacentral:rRNA from 1 species